UAUAGUUCUUAUACUUGAAAGCUGUAGCACUUAGCAGAUAUUUGUAAUCUCAAUAAUGUUUGAGUUAAGCAAAAUGUUUUUGGUUGUGUUUCUUAUUGUGGUAAUGGUUAUAUUUUCAUCUGACGGAGCAAGUAUAUUGAUUUCAGGUUUUUUACCAAUUCUAAAACGAACCUUUGACGAACGUAUGCGAGAAGUUUGUUCAGCAUGUGUAUAGUAAAUGAAUAGUAAAAAGUUGGAAAGAUUAUAAAACACAAUAUUAUUAUAAUAAUGUAAAAUAUGUAAUCAAGCCAUGUUUAAUGUACGAAAUUUAUGCAACAUAAUAAAUUAUGCGCAAUAAUUA